rnacentral:tRNA from 1 species
GCCUGUGUGGCUCAGUGGUUGAGCAUCAAACUAUGAACCAGGAGGUCAGGGUCCAAUUCCCAGUGAGGGCA